GUGAUUAUUGAUUGCUGAAGAACUGAGCUAUAAAUGAAGGAACCAAAAGCUCAGCGCCUCAUCCCCUGUGCCUUCGUGGCUGUUUGGACCGACCUGCCACUCCAGAAAUGGAGAUCUUCACCCUUUUCAACAAACCGAAGAGCCAUCAGAAGUGCCGGCAAUACUAUCCUGUCACCAUUCCUCUCCGUGUCUCCAAGAAUGGCCAGACAGUGAGCGGUUUGGAUGCCAACUGGUUAGAGCACAUGAGCGACCACUUCCGGAAAGGAGGCAUGCUGGUGAACGCAGUCUUCUACCUUGGAAUAGUGAAUGAUUCCUUACAUGGCUUGACAGAUGGAGUAUUCAUCUUUGAAGCUGUUUCCACAGAAGAUAGCAAAACCAUACAGGGCUAUGAUGCUAUUGUGGUUGAACAAUGGACAGUCCUGGAAGGUGUCGAAGUGCAGACAGACUACGUGCCCCUGCUGAACUCGCUGGCGGCCUAUGGCUGGCAGCUCACCUGUGUGCUACCAACUCCCGUCGUCAAGACUACCAGUGAGGGGAGUGUAUCCACCAAGCAGAUUGUCUUUCUUCAGAGACCGUGUCUACCUCAGAAAAUCAAGAAGAAGGAAUCGAAGUUUCAGUGGCGAUUCUCCAGAGAAGAAAUGCACAACAGGCAGAUGAGGAAAUCGAAAGGUAAACUCAGUGCCAGAGACAAACAACAAGCAGAAGAAAAUGAGAAGAAUUUAGAAGACCAGUCUUCCAAAGCUGGAGACAUGGGAAACUGUGUUUCGGGACAGCAGCAGGAGGGUGGAGUCUCCGAGGAGAUGAAGGGCCCUGUCCAAGAGGACAAGGGAGAACAGCUGUCCCCUGGUGGCCGGCUGUGUGGGGUGGGUGUGGAGGGCGAGGCUGUGCAGAAUGGUCCUGCCAGCCACAGCAAGGCCCUGAUGGGGAUUUGCACUGGGCACUCCAAUCCUGGAGAGGAUGCCAGGGACGGGGAUGCUGAGGAAGAAAACUAGGUGAGUUGCCAAACCCAAGGCAUCUUACCAACAGCUGGUUUGGGGGCUGGUUUCCCUGGUGUUGUGUGUUACCUACCCUUUGGCUUGGCUUGACCUCUCCUUGUGAGCUCACCUGAACCCUCCCAGGGCCAGGUUCCUGACAGUGUUGGUUUUUGCACAUCCACUGGAAAGUUGUCAUUAAUGACCCAGUGUUAGAAUGCAAGAGGUCAGGUUAUUUCUUCUAGCCCUCAUGGCUGAAGGCCCAGUCCUGGCUCCACCACUCUGCCAGCCGGAGG
rnacentral:sRNA from 1 species